rnacentral:lncRNA from 1 species
AAGGAAAGGGAGGAAAUACAAAAAAAUAGAAGAGAAAAGUCAUCCAAAGUUAUAUACAAAUCACUACCCCCUUUUUUGUAUUUCCUUAAUUUAUUUCCUUAAUUGAAUUUCGUAGGACGAAGUUCCUUAAAAACCUCUGCCUUCUUUAAAAUAUCCUGAACAGUUUCUGUAGGUUGAGCCCCUUUUUCAAGGAAAUAUAAAAUAGCAGGAACAUUUAAAUAAGUUUGAUUCCUUAUCGGAUCAUAAAAACCUACUUUCUGAAGAUCUUUUCCUUCUCUUCGGGAUCGAACAUCAAUUGCAACGAUUCGAUAGACGGCUCAUUGGGAUAGAUAUAGAUGAACAACACCCCCCCUAGAAACGUAUAGGAAGCUUUCUCCUCGUACGGCUCGAGAAAAAUGAUUGAUUUGUCUCUCUAUGGAAUUCUAUCUAAGAAAUGACAACUGGAUCCAUAAAAUGAUCAAAGUAAUUAAAGAUGUAAGUCGUUUUUUCUUCGUUCUUCCUUAAAAUGAAAAAGAAAUCAUUCGUAUUCUCAUAACUCAAGUUGGAUAACUUUCAAAUAGUUCAAAGGAAAAUCUUUCGACAAUUUCAUUUAUUGAGCGGUCUUUCCUCCUUUUUUGGUUGUCUCGUUUAAAAUUGGAUUCUUCAGUCUGAUCCAGUUAUUAAGACAAUAAAGUUAUUAAGACAAUAAAAAAGGUGUUUCCUUGUUCUGGGAUCCUUUAUCUUUGUUUUAUUUUAAAUCAUUGGGUUUAAACAUUACUUCGGUGCUUUUUAAUCCUUUCAAAAUGGCAGCAACAUACCUUUUUUGCGAUUUCUAUGAAAAAAUCCUACAAGAUGGUGGAUUCCCUCGUGAAACACUUUGGAUCGAAAAAGUUUGAUCAAUUCCAAUAAAUUUUGUAAUUUGAAACUUGCUCGAAUUGGAUUCUUUCGAUUUCCAUACCUAAGAUAUAUUUACGAAGUUGUUUCAAUUUUUUUUAUUGAUUGGCAUUAACCCUAGACCCUUGCCCCGAGAAAGAAAUUAAUACUUUCUACUCGAGCUCCAUCAUGGACUAUUUACAUUCCAAGACAACAAAAAACGAGGGGUUCUAGUGAAACAGAACCAAUGAUGUCGAGCUAAGAGCACCUUCAUUCCUACAAAAAAUGGUGGAUGUACAAAUCCACAACGGAUCGUGUCCUUCAAGUCGCACGUUGCUUUCUACCACAUCGUUUCAAACGAAGUUUUACCAUCACAUUCCUCUAAGAACCGGUAUGGAAUUGAUUCAAUUAUGGAAUCAUGAAUAGUCAUUGGUUGGGAUGAUGUAUAUCCGCCAUAAUGUAUAGUAUUCUCUAUAUCUCUAGUCUAGUCAUUGAUUGGGAUGACGCUUAGCCAUACUCUAUAGUCUAUAGAUAUAACUAAUACUAUAAAUAGAGGUGGAGUAAGCUGUUUCUCAAAAACUUUUAGGUAAUAAUAUAGAGAUGGAGAAAGAUUUCGACGAAGAAAUCUUAGUAAAAACUCAUUCCGAAUAUUUAUUUAUAAGUAUCACUUUAUAUUUUCCACUAGGUAUAACUGUUACUUUAUAUUUAUAGAACCCUAUUAUUACGUCGAAAUAUUUUACUUCAUCUUCAUCGAACAUACGAUUCCUAGUUAGUUGAGGAAGUUAACUUUGAUAGAACAUAAUUAUUAUUAUUAUAUAACAUUAUUAUUAAUUUGUCUACCAUUAUUAACAUUAUAAUAUUUAUUAAAUAUAAAUAUAUAUAUAUUAAAUAUAAAUAUAUAUAUAUUUAAUUAAAUAAUAAUUAAUAAUCAAUAAGAAAUCAAUAAGACGAAUAAACGAAUUCUUUUUGAUUCUGCAUGACUUAAUAGGAGAGAAAGAUUCAGCUUCUAAGGAAUGAUUAAAACUAUUUAUCUUUCGAAAUUUAUUCGAAAUUUCGAAAGUUCCCCUUUCGACAUCAUUAUUCCAAGAAAAUUUGAUAGUUAAAAAUAACUUUUAAUCAGCUUAGGAAAAAAGAUAAGUCUUUUUUUCAUCUGAUUGAGAAAAUCCAAAGAAUGGGGAGGGUUUCGUAUCUAUCAAUUCAAUCAAAUACACUGAGUAAUUGUCACCGUUUAGAGAUAUUGAAAUGAACGCCUUCCCAUUACUGAUUAACUCCUAUCUACCCCAUUCUAUGGGACUGAUGCAGCAUAAAUCAAAAGAAGGGGGUGUCCUAGUCUUUUUUAUUUUUACGAAAUGCAAGCUGUCUAGGCACAAAGCCAAACAAGUCCAGAUUAAGUCCAGUUUUUGCUCCUUUUUUCCAUUUUAGCCUACCUCAUUGAUUAAGAAUUAAGAGACUUAGUGAAUUUAAUUAUUACCAAAAACCUCCUCGUGGCGAAAAGUCAAGAAAUCGACAAAAACGAAAAUGGAAUCUAAUUAGGCUAAUUUAGGGGGUAGAGAAUACGCGAUAGGGAAUAUGGAUUCUUUCGCAUCUCGAUUCAGUUUUUGAAAAAAAAAAAACGAUUCAUCGAAGAAAAAAAUCAGAAACAACAAUC